GUACGGGGGGAGCAAGCGUUUGUUCGGAUUUACUGGGCGUAAAGGGCGCGUAGGCGGCCAGCACAAGUCAGUUGUGAAAUCUCCGAGCUUAACUCGGAACGGUCAACUGAUACUGUGGCGGCUAGAGUGCAGAAGGGGCAACUGGAAUUCUUGGUGUAGCGGUGAAAUGCGAUAGAUAUCAAGAGGGAACACCUGGCGGCGAAGGCGGGUUGCUGGGCUGACACUGACGUGGAGGCGCGAAAGCGUCGGGGAGCAAACGG
rnacentral:rRNA from 1 species